ACAGAGGGUGCAAGCGUUGUUCGGAAUCACUGGGCUUAAAGGGCGCGUAGGCGGUUCAGCAAGUAGAGGUUGAAAUCCGGCGGCUCACCCGUCGAACUGGUCUCUAAACUGCUGGACUGGAGUCAUGGAGGGGUGCGUGGAACUUGUGGUGGAGCGGUGAAAUGCUCAGAUAUCACAGGGAACACCGGUGGCGAAGGCGACGCACUGGCCAUGUACUGACGCUGAGGCGCGAAAGCCAGGGGAGCGAACGGGA
rnacentral:rRNA from 1 species